AGAGUUUGAUCCUGGCGUCAGGACGAACGGCCUGGCGGCUCGCCUAACACAUGCAAGUCGAACGGACUUCCGGAUUUAGAAACUUCGGUGGACGAAGAAGGAAGUUAGUGGCGAACGGGUGAGUAACACGUGAGGAACCUGCCUUUAAGAGGGGGAUAACACUUAGAAAUAGGUGCUAAUACCGCAUAAGACCACGCCUCGGCAUCGGGAAGCGGUCAAAGGAGCAAUCCGCUUAAAGAGGGCCUCGCGUCCGAUUAGGUAGUUGGCGGGGUAACGGCCCACCAAGCCAACGAUCGGUAGCCGGACUGAGAGGUUGAACGGCCACAUUGGGACUGAGACACGGCCCAGACUCCUACGGGAGGCAGCAGUGGGGAAUAUUGGGCAAUGGGGGAAACCCUGACCCAGCGACGCCGCGUGAGGGAAGAAGGUCUUCGGAUUGUAAACCUCUGUCUUCGGGGACGAUAGUGACUGUACCCGAGGAGGAAGCCCCGGCUAACUACGUGCC
rnacentral:rRNA from 1 species